rnacentral:rRNA from 1 species
UACGUAGGGUGCAAGCGUUAAUCGGAAUUAUUGGGCGUAAAGAGCUCGUAGGCGGUCUGUCGCGUCGGCUGUGAAAACCCAGGGCUUAACCCUGGGCCUGCAUUCGAUACGGGCAGACUAGAGUUCGGUAGGGGAGACUGGAAUUCCUGGUGUAGCGGUGAAAUGCGCAGAUAUCAGGAGGAACACCGGUGGCGAAGGCGGGUCUCUAGGCCUGUACUGACGCUGAGGAACGAAAGCGUGGGGAGCGAACAGG